rnacentral:rRNA from 1 species
CACCCCCUCCCUGCCAAUGCCACCGCCCAACAACGCGAGCUCGAUGCCCAUCUCGUGCUCUGGAUAUACGCCACCCUCGCCGACAACCUUGUUGAUCAUGUCGUCGGCGCCACCACCACCUAUGAUCUCUGGAAUCGCAUCCGGGAUUACUUCCUCGCGAACAGGGCGGCUCGGUACAUGAUGCUCAACACGCAGUACCGCAACCUCAAGCAAGGGGACCUCUCCGUCACCGACUACGCCCGCCGCAUGAAGCUGAUCACCGUCGGGCUCGCCGACAUCGACCACGCCGUCACGGAGGUGGAUCUCACCACCCAGUUUCUCCACGACAUCGACAAACGACUCGACACCAUCCGCGUUGUCCUCGGGGACACCGUUCCUCUGCCGCCGUUCGAAAUGGUGUUCUCUCGUUUGAAGCUUGCCGAGGAGAACCUCGCCCAGCGCGGGGCCGCUGAGCCGGUCACCAUCCUUGCUGUCACUAGCGGCGGCGGCCCUGCUGGCCACCCUUCCGGUCCUGGCGGCUCCUCCAACACUCGCGCUGGUGACCGCGUGAUCGCCCCGACCGGGGCGCUGAUCGUGGCAACGGCUCCCAGGCUCGCGGAUCUGGCAACCGCAACGAGGGCGGCGACCGCGGCGGCCGCGGUCGUGGGCGCAGGCGCGGGCGCGGUCGGGGACGUGGUGAUCAGGGUGGUCGCGGUCACCUGCCGCCCAUGUCCUACAACCCGUACAUGGGAUUCUUCGCACCCUACGGCAUGGCGCUGCCGAACCCGCGCCUCGGUUGGGUUCCUCCCAACAGUGCCGGUGUGCUCGGCCCGCGCCCCGGGUCGCAUGCCCAGGCGUACCAGAUGCACCUCUCCGGCUACCCCGCGCCGCCCCGCCCCAGCCUCCUUCCUGGGAUCACCUUGCCAUGCUCCAGGCCGCCUACAACGCCCAAGGCUACCCCAACAGCAGCUCUGCUCCUCAUGA